rnacentral:lncRNA from 1 species
GCCUCCCAUGUGGAAAAUAUUUUAAUGUUUAUGAGCCACCAGCUCACAUCCUAUUCUUGCACAACACUUUCUACUUUUCAAAAUGCUUUUAUAGGUUAUCUUUUUGGAUCCGACUCCCGGUACUGCAGCCAUCUGUCACUGCCUCUGUUUUUACUACUGAAGCAACAAACACACGGAAGGGGAAUUGUUAAACCUGUGGGAUCCCACGGAGCUCGACGGGGGAAGUGGACACAUCACAUGCUCCCCAGUCCCCAGGGAGUGGGGACCCAGGAAGGUGGCCCACACGGUCACGUUCAAAACCAGCAUGCCGGAGGUGUUAGGACUGCAGCCGGCUGGAAGGGAAGCCGGCGUGGGAUGCGAAAAGGGGAAAAGGAUUUGGUUUGUCAUUUUUUUCAGCAUUGAAAGGAGACUUUGUCCCAAGUGUCUGAGAGGGGGUAUUUUACUCAUGAACAAAGCUGGAACUUAAUCCCAAUAAGAGCCAAGACAGGAAUCUGUCAAUGAGUGUUCAGUGCCCCCAAAAAGCAGUAAAUUGGGACAACAGUUCAAUAGAAUUAUAAAUUUCUUGUAAGUAUCUCAGCUUCAUGGAGAAAUAAAUGACUUGAAUGAACUAAUUUGUAAUUCAGGGUGGAUGAUGUCAGUAUAGUAAGCAAUAUAUUUAUAGGAGGAAUUGUGUCAGAAAAUGCUUACCCUUAAUAUAAAAAUUUAAAUAGACUCACAUUGAAAAGUUCUGGAAAUAUAUUUUAAAUUUCAA